ACCCUACUAUGCCCAGCCAUAACAAAAUAAUUAAACAACCAAUUAUUCGCCAAAUAACUACGAGUGUAAACUUAAAAUUUAAAAGACUUGACGGUACUUCACACCAACCUAGAGGAGCCUGUCCCAUAACCGAUACUCCACGAUUAACCCCACCCACCCUAGCCUUACAGUCUAUAUACCGCCGUCGCCAGCUCACCUUGUGAAAGAAAUAAAGUGAGCAUAACAAGCCACCCUUAACACGACAGGUCGAGGUGUAACUAAUGAGUGGGCAAAAGAUGGGCUACACUUUCUAAUACAGAAAAUACGGAUCCAAACCAUGAAAUAAGAAACUGAAGGCGGAUUUAGCAGUACGAUAAGAACACAAUACUUAACCGAAACCAACGCAAUGAAGUGCGUACACACCGCCCGUCAUCCCUGUCAAAAACCUACAAAUAUUCAUAAAACACCAUUCAUCCCCAAACA
rnacentral:rRNA from 1 species